AGGUUUAUUGCCUGGCUAUAGACAGCCCGAGAAAGAAAGUUAGCUUCCCACCCCCGGCAGCUGCAGUGAUUGGAAAACGAGCCUGAGCCUUUUCACCGAAAAGAAUAUAUCAUUAUCCGUUGGGUUCGCCCUACUUCCCUGUUAAGAAUCACCUGAAGUGCCUAAAAAUCCGCGAGUUUCAGGGCUUUUCCCUGGAAAUAAUGAUUUAGAACGUCCUGGGGGAGGGCCUAGGAGUCUGUGGGUUUAAUAAGCACCUCCAGGAUUUGUGUCUUCGGACAUGAUUCGUGCUUGUGGACAAAACUGACCUCGGAGCUGAGUCAAGCAUUGAAAAAUCCUGGAACUUUCAAUAUUUAUGUAGCCAAAGUGUCUCUCUUGCUCACUCACUUGCUUGCUUGUGUACCACUAAUUGAGCAACUACUAUGGGCCAGAUGCUCUGGAAAAUGUUGUUCUGAAGAGGAGUACUAAUCUUCACCAGUGGUGCACCUAGCUGUAUUUUGCACAUUAGGAAACAGACCCAGAGGCACACCUCCCAGAUGCAUCUUCCUCAUGGGGUUGUCGCAGGGUUUAAGAAAAUGAACUCAUAUAAAGGGCUCAGAAUAGUGUCUGGAUCACAGAACUCUGAAGAAUUUAUGUCAGUGAUUCUGAAGUGAGAAUGGAACAUGGAUCCAACCCCUCUAAGGCAGAAGAGAUGUGAGCAGAUUACCUUCUCUGUCCUUAAAAGGAGUGGCCCUGCAUUCCCUGAGAGGGCAUAGCUGGGGCAGUCAUCUGGACCCACCAGACAGGAGCUGAAGCUUGAUAAAAGGUGCCUGGUUCCAGUGACUAUGGAGCAGCCUGCCAGCACUAGAGGAGUCACAGAGAUGUCUAGAUGAGUCACAGAGACAUUUACAUGACAGAAAAAUAAACAACUAUGUUGUUUAAGCCAUUAUUAGUCAGUCUUUCAGUUCAAGCAGCUACACGUGUAUUUUAAUUAAUACCAAGACAGCUCUGUAAGUUUGAUCCAU
rnacentral:lncRNA from 1 species